CCUACGGGGGGCUGCAGUGAGGAAUAUUGGUCAAUGGGCGGAAGCCUGAACCAGCCAAGUAGCGUGCAGGAUGACGGCCCUACGGGUUGUAAACUGCUUUUAUACGGGAAUAACGCGCCUUACGUGUAGGGCUUUGCAUGUACCGUAUGAAUAAGGACCGGCUAAUUCCGUGCCAGCAGCCGCGGUAAUACGGAAGGUCCGGGCGUUAUCCGGAUUUAUUGGGUUUAAAGGGAGCGUAGGCCGCAUGUCAAGCGUGCUGUAAAAUGUCCGGGCGCAACCCGUGCCUUGCAGCGCGAACUGGCGUGCUUGAGUCCGCGGAAAGCAGGCGGAAUUCGUCGUGUAGCGGUGAAAGGCUUAGAUAUGACGAAGAACCCCGAUUGCGAAGGCAGCUUGCUGCAGCGGAACUGACGCUGAUGCUCGAAAGCGCGGGUAUCGAACAGGAUUAGAUACCCCGGUAGUC
rnacentral:rRNA from 1 species